AGCUCCAAUAGCGUAUAUUAAAAUUGUUGCAGUUAAAAAGCUCGUAGUUGGAUUUCUGGCUUGGUGCGCGCUGUCCGCCAAGGUUUCUUGGUGUGUACAGAAGUGCGCCUGCCAUCCUUCCGGAAAAUGACUCUACCCUUCACUGGGCCGGGGCACUUCUGGAUCAUUUACUUUGAAAAAAUUAGAGUGUUCAAAGCAGGCUUGCGCUAUGAAUACAUUAGCAUGGAAUAAUAAUUUAGGACUUCUGUUCUAUUUUGUUGGUUUCUAGGAUGGAAGUAAUGAUUGAUAGGGAUAGUUGGGGGUGCUAGUAUUCCGCGGCCAGAGGUGAAAUUCUUGGAUUCGCGGAAGACUAACUUAUGCGAAAGCAUUCACCAAGGAUGUCUUCU
rnacentral:rRNA from 1 species